GUUUAUAGCCUGUGUUCAAGUGUCAAAAGCUACCACCUGUCAACUGUCAACGGCAUCAUCAUCGAGUCAGAGAUGUUAACAACACAACAUCCGCUUCCUACGGCUGAAUCAACAAUCGUUUCCAAAACGCAUCGCUGCAGAUCACAUCCACUGACUACAUUGGAGGCCUUACAUUGACUAAAGUUUUAAUAACAAGUUGUUCCCUGCAACUAACGACAAUUAACGGGCAGAAACUGCUGUCAAGCAACCCGCUACUGGGUAAAUAGCGCGCCGCGCGACCUGAUCCUCUCAUGUCGCCCCGUAACCUUCACCGGGAGGACAACCCGUAAGCCCUUCUCCGGGUCUAGACAUCCUACCAUCAGUAUGAUGUUGGAAAGUUGUAAAUCGCAUUAGCCCCAUUCUGGUUUUCACGAAACUUAUUCUAAUAUUUGCAGCUACCGUCAUAAUAUGAAUAACAUAUUUCAGAUGAUUUCAUUCCAUCACAAUACGCCGUGUUAAACAAUGGAUGUACUAUAUAAAAUUUUAAUUU